rnacentral:lncRNA from 1 species
CCGUGUCACGGACUGAAGUAGUUGGCGAUGAGUCCAAUUCCUCGUCCACAUCUUGGACAACUGACACAUCUGGGAUCCAGGAAGUUCCCGCAGCAAGAGACCCAGAUGAAUAUGAAAAGGCACAGGGUUCAGAUCCAUUCCCACCCAGAUGCAGAAGGUCUGUGUCAGUUGCUGUGUACGCAAGAUGAUCUCCAGCUUCCAUCUCUUCCUGUUUAUGGUCAUCAACAACUCAGUGACUUCUAGCAGAGUUUAAACACAAGAAAACCUAUUCAAUUUACGACAAUAAAUGCAUAUAAACAGAAUCAAAAGCCUUGGCAAAGUGAACUGGUACAACCAAAAUCAGUUGAUUCGAGAUCCAACUAAGACAACUGGCUAACAUCCAUGCAUGAUUAAGAGUUUAAAACAAGCAGGAGAGGUCAACAAGAAGCAACGUAGAUUACACCCUCCAAAAGUGGAAUUAGUUACAGCAUCAUAAAUCUGAUUCUCUCUGACUAAUAUCUUUGCAAAACUUCUACACACUUGCUUCAAAUAUAAAUCUCACCCAGCACUUGUUCAAAACUAUCACCCCUGCCUCUCUUACCCUAUUAUUUUUAAUUAAAAAUAAAGUAAAUAAUUCCUAAACUACAUUAAUAUUCUUCCUACUAUGACACAUAACGUAAGAAAAGUAGCCAGGUUGGACUGUUUAAAAAAUGAUUUGUUGUUUCCUCCCUACUCCCUCCCCUCCCUGAGUAUACAAAUACUCAAUAAAUGGAUACAAGUGCCUCUAGAAAGCAUUUUUACAAAACAUUAGUACAUAACAAGUGUCAAAACUUCCCAAUUGGCCAAAAGGAAAUUAAAUCUAAAUGGAGUGUCCAGCAAACUUUAUGUUAUCACAUUAAUUUUCAAUAUACUGCUCCUAGAAAACAGCACCCUUUUCUCCUUUGGAACCAAAAGGAAAGGGAAAAGUAAAUGGAAAUAGGAUGAUGAUGAUCUUCGUGAUCUGAACUACAAUAUUACCAUAAGUUCUUAUCUUCAUGUUUAUGUGUACCAAUUUGAGAACUAUUGAACCUAGUUGCAGAUACAUACAACAUACCUGUAUUUCUUGAGAAUAAUAACAACAUACCUGUAUUGGCGGUAAUGAACUCCUAAAUUCAUUAAAAGAUGCUGCGUGACCAAAACCCAUGUCAAGCAAAGGUUCUUCAUCAGAUUCAGACUCAAAAGAAUCAUUUAAACCAAAGCCUGAAUCAUUAGCACAAACACCCCUGAGAGAGGAAGUAGGAAAUGGGUUUAUCUCAAUAGCUUGAGAACGCGGUAAAUUGUCUGAACUCUUUGAUGAACCAAGUUGAUCAGAUACUAAUUCUAAAGCAUUUUCAUCAUCAUUGCUUGUCUUGAGACCACCUUCAGGAUAGCAACUAUAACUCACACAAGAGGGAGAUUUUUCGACAGAGAUUCUGGAGGAGAUCACUGAUCAGAUCAGUCUUUGAAUGGCACUUCGCUUUAUAUGGUUGAAACAAGUUUAUGCUGAGCUGGAUUCAAAAUAAAGUAGAGAAACUUUCAGGUAUAAAAAUCAUCAACUACCUAAAGUUUUCUCAAAGAAAUAAGAGCCAUAAAUCACAAGCAAGAAUCAGAAAAAGAGGAAAAAUAAAGAAUGCAAGAAAAAAACACACAAACAUCAUAGGAAGAGAACUGAGAAGAAUGAUGUCAGCAGAAGGGAAGAAAGGAAAACAUACAGCAGCAAGACAAAUUUCAUGAGGAUUUGAAGUAGAAUUUUGCAGAUCAUCCCAACAUGCAGACUCAAAGGUCAUUGAAGCAUCAAAUGUCGUUCUUCUUCUCUUUACGUUUGUCAUAUAGUAUACCAAUCCGAGAUCUUAGGAUAUGUACUUUCAUAACCAGGAAGAAUUCUAUACUAAACAAGGUAACUCCUACUCUAUGUCAGCUAUGUGGAAGUAGCAGAGAGCUCUGUUUAGACAAGACCAAGUUCCUCAAUUUGGAAAAGAUAAUUUUUUCUUCAUUUUCACAGCAGGGAGAAGAACUCUAUUCUUUAUUCCCCUUUCUUACUUUGAAAGUAGUUCAAUUGCCACAACACAAAUACUUCACAAUGGCUGAAAUAUAUAUAUAUAUAUAUAUAUAGCCUGUCCAUAAUCCAUCCCUAAAAGUUGCCUCAUUUAUCUCUUUUCUUUAGCUCUUCCUUCUCUAUAUCUUGGGAGAACGUGUGGUCAUGGAUGGUGAAACCAAUACCGGACUACACCCCAUGUUACUGUUGGCAUUUCAUAUUAUGGGAAUUUGGAAGAAUGGGUCGAAAAGAGUUUUUGGUUCAAUACCCUAUAUGGGGCUUGAGGGGUUUUGUAGGGUUUAAGGGUUGGGUUAAAAAAAGGGUCUUUUGGGUUUCUGAAGAUCGUUUUUAAGGAUUGCUUUCUUCUUAUUAUUGAGGUCAUUUCAAUGAACAAACAAAGAUCAUUCAAGAAUCAAUUCACUUACCAGAAAAAUAAAAGCUUUAACACCCUUACCUUACCUUUGCUCAAGCAAAAUGAAGUUGCUGUUCAUGUCCUUUCUUGAGAAAAAAUUGGGGCUUUUGAUUAGGGAAGAUGAGGAAGAAGAAGAGUUCCGAACCUCAAUAUGAACUCAUGGGCUCGGCUGGGUUCACGUUAGACAUAGCUAUUUUAGGGUGUUUUUGCCCAAAUUUUAGGGUGUGGGUCUUUAACACCCUUUUUUUUUUUUUUUUGAACAUUGGUAAAGUUGUAUUCUUCAGCAUUAAGGACAUGCUGGCCACCUUCAAAAAUGUACAGCCCUAACCAAAAUUACAAGCUCCCUAUUAAUUCUAUAAUUUGAUCUACAUCUUCUAUACAGAGCUGUUUACACCAAAAAAGUAAAGAUACCAAACAAUUCCAUUUUACUUUGUGAAUGGAAUUAGAUCUAUCUUCAAAACAUCUCCCAUUUCUUUCCUUCCACACUGACCACCAUAUGCAUGAUGGUAUUAGCUUCCACCACUUCUUUUGAGUCUUGCUACCCCCCCUUCUGAUCCAACAUUAAAAGAACAGAGGUGUGUUCUGGCAUAGUCCAGCUACAAUUUUGGUGACUAACCAAGUGAAGCAUUUCACUUUGGUGGGGGUCAGUCCUCUCCAAAUACUCUUCCAGUGAUGAUGGUAGCCUCUAACCCCAACUUGUAUGCCUUUCUUGUAAGCACUGUUUACUGUGAAUUUGCCAUCCUUGUUGUGCUUCCAAAUAACUCUAUCUGGUGCAUUUGUUACUAGAUUGGUUCCCCUCAAUUUUCCCAGGAAAGAAGCCACUAUAUCUACUUCCCAAUCAUUCAAUAGCCUUCUGAAAGAUAGGUCCAGCAUUCACAUACUCUGGCUUCAGGAUUAUUGCUGAUUGAGAAAAGAUCUGGGAAUGGCUCACUUAGAGGAAUUUGAUCAAUCCAUCCAUCUCUUCAAAACUUGAUCUUGUUGCCAUUUCCAACUUUGAGAAACACAUUUUCUUCCAUAGAGUUCCAUAAAGCUCUGAUUGUCCUCCAUACUCCCCAUCCAUAGGGUUCUGACACUAUCUCUGUACACCAUGGGUUCAAUUCCCCAUACUUUGCCACUAUCACCUCCUUCCAUAGGGUUCCUUCCUCACUAGUAUAUCUCCACAACCACUUCAUACAAAAGGCUCCUGUUUUGGAUUCUCAAAUUUCUAAUACCCAGUCCCCCUCUUUCUUUGCUUAGCAUCACAGUGUUCCAUUUCACUAAAUAGUAACCCUUGCCUUCUCUCUCUUUGCCUUUUUUCCGGAGGAAGUUUCUUCUCAGUCUGUCCAGCCUGUCCAAUUUAAUACCCUUUAUAAAAAUCUAUAUUUGAUACCUCGUUAUGGCCAUCAUUUCUAUUUAUCUUUUUUGCAUUUUUUUAAUCCAUAAUAUUGUACUCUUUCUGGCCAACAAUAGUUGUUCACUAUUGACUUGGCACAACUUUAAGAAAGAAAAAAUAAUAGGGGUAAUAUUACUAUAUUAUCCUCUGACUUUAUUAAAUUUAAUGCUUUGAACUACUGCAAUGAAUAAACAUUGUAUAAAUAGUGUAUAUGGAUGUAUAUACUAGGGGUGUGCACUAUUCGGAUUAAACCGAAUAACCAAACCAAAUCAAACCGAAUUAUUAUUUGGAUUGAUUUUUUAUUUUUUCGGAUUGGUUUUGGAUUAAUAAAUUACUUUGUUUGGUUUUUUGGUUUGGUUUCGGAUUUUAAAAAAUAAAAACUGAAAAACCAAAAAAAACCGAAUUAUAUAUAUAUAUAUAAUGUUUAGGUUUAGAAUUAAAUUGGAGUUAACCACUUUUGUCCCUUUUUGGUUAUUGCCUUUCAUGAUGAUUACGUUUAUAUUUUAUGUUUGAAUUACAUCUAUAAUAGGUAUACUUAUAAGUAUUGUGUUUUAAGUUUUACUUAUGAUUUAUAUUAGAAAGAAUAUAAAGGGAUUAAAUGUUAUUACUUUGGUUAUAUAUGUUAUUAAUUAUUGACAUAACCGAAUAACCAAACCGAAAAAAGCCGAACCGAAUAGAGGAAAACCAAACCAAAUCAAAUUUAUUUUGGAUCGGAUUGGGUUACACUUUUACAAAAUCAAAAAUCAAAAAUCCAAACCGAAUAGUGUAAACCCAAACCGAAUGCAUACCCCUAGUAUAUACCUCUCUAAUACAUAAUUAUACAUCAUAUAUAUACACAAUUAUACAACAUUGAUAUAUUACAUGUACAUAUAACCAUUUUAUUGAGAAAUUUUUUUGUUACAUAUACAGUUUGGUAACAAGCCCUAUUUAAUAGUGUAUUACAUAUAAAACAAUAACAAGCCCUAUUUAAUAUUAGGGAAAGCAUGAUCAACUUUUUCUCAGUUUCAGUAUGCCUUCUUCAAUGUUAAUAGUUUUUCCAAUGAUCUAGUAAAGCAACCAAGCAUGAGGAGACCUUACAAAAUGAAAAUAAAGCUAAGCAUAAGGAAGAUUUGCAACUUAAAGUCCAGCUACUCAUAAAUCAAAGAAUCAUAUACUAAACCAGCAUUUAUUUUCUAAAUGCAAAAGCCAAAUGUAUAUCAGUAAUGACCUGUAUAUUGAGGAGGACAAGAGAAAAGAUUCAAAAUUGUAACCAUGAGAUACUGGUCAUACCUUGUCAAUCUCACUGAGUCUCAAACAUCCAUGCUGCCUUUCAUCAAGUCUCAGUUAAAGAUAUAUUUUGCCCUGCGUAACAUCAAUUCAGAAAAUGUGUGCUCCCACAGUGGACACUGGACAUAUCGAACAACAGUUGAGGGAGAAAAGAAUAAGUUGCUACACUGCAAAAAAAGAGCCUCCUUAAUGACAUGGACAAAAAAUUGGAUGUAUGCAAAGGGUAGUACCGAAAAGUAAGGAACCAACAAGAAGAUAUGCAAAAAGGCCACCCAAUCUUCUAAACAACAAGGAACUACAUGGGUGCACCAAAAGCAGAUCAGGGAUAGAGAAUACUACUCAACUGAGUAAACUCAUCUCUACCCCUUCAAAGAUCUCCUAUUUCUUCCUCUCCAAACAACUCACAUUAACGUGAAUGAAGCGACAUUCCAUACCCUGCGUAUUCUCCUCCUUUUUGGCAUCUUCCAGUUGAACAUCAAAUCCCGCCCAUAACAUGGCAUCCUCCAAAGCUUAAAGAAGACACUUCUUCCUACAAGGUUUAAAGUUCCUUAACGUAGAACAUCCACCCCUCCCCCCACAGUUACACUGUCCAGACAGAAACGUAAGAAACCAUAACUGCAGAAGGACCAUUUGAUCCAUGUCUGCUCUGACUGAAUAAAGCAUUAUAUACUAGAGAAAGAUAAGAGAUAAGAUGGUUUCAGUUAUCUGCAAGAUCAAUUCUUUCACUAAGUUCUUAUAAUUUGCAUCAAAAUGGAAUCAAGGAGAUGAUGUGUUAUGUUAAAACAUCUGAACACAUAACUCCAAGAAAAGAAGAAAACACAGCAUGAAUCGAAUUGCAUGCAAUUUCACUAGUAAAGUUCUAAUAAAGACUGAGCAUUUUAAGAUACUACAAAACUUCCCACCUUGUAGAAGCUUUAUAUCCUUAUUCAGGAAUACAGGGCCUACAAAGUCAAUAACAAAAGAACAACUAAACAGUGCUUCAUCCUUUCAAUUCACAUUCCUAAACAAAAGUAAACUAAAGGACGAACGAGCUGCAAAUUAGGACAGUAGAAAUAGCUUAUCAUCAGAGGGUGAGAGCUAUCAGGAUGAGUUCACAUUGAUGUAUCAUAGGCUUCUCACAUCAGCUUCAUAAAUCUUAACAGAAGGGUUCACAGGGAUCUAAUCCCCACCCAUCCCAAACCAUGAUGAUUGCUAAUUGUCAAUGUACAAUUUUUUUAAUCUGAGAUUUGUUAAAUGACUUAUUUUAAGAAGGUAAAUCAAUUGUAUAGAUGAACUAGCUCCAAGGAUGUGCUUUAAGCCUAUAACACCUGUACAAUAUUUUCAUGAGCAAGAAGUGGUAACUGAUUCCUUUCUUUAAAUAAUUAGCUGGUUAAAUUAUUUACAUGAGAAUGUAUCUUGAUAAGCGAAAGAAUAUAUCAUAUUAAUCAUUAAACAUGAGAUAUUUGAUUUUCCUUCAACUUAGAUAUUGCUUCUGAAGCUAUAUGAUUCUGCAAUAUCAGGAAUGAUCAUAGUGGGAGGAUAAGCAAAUACCAAAGAAACUGUUGUUUUGCAUUGACUUUAAAUCUGAAACAAAUCCCAUGGAAAUAAAUAAUUUUGUGUUUAAUGACAUAUGGAAAGUUCAGGAUUAUGCAAAUGACAUCUGAGAGAAUUCCUUCGAUAGAGGCAACUUCAGUAGGAGUAAAGCCAUAUUAAGGUACACCAAUACAAAAGGUAGAAGUUAAGACAAGGAAGAUCUUCAUUUUGAUACAUUGGACUGUUAUAAAUGUUGUCAAACUACAAAAAAAACGUUGAUCGUAAUGGAAGAAAAAGGCAGAAAGCAGCAAAAGAAUUCAACUAAUAUUGAAAGAUAUUACCAUUUAUACCCAAUUCACGAAUGUUACAAAGUACACUACAAAGAGACAGUGCGUCUAUAUAGUGUUUCAUCUUCACUGUCAUCUUCCUCUUCUGAUACAAUCUCAUUGCCUGGUAGCUCUAACUUCCCACCCAUACAAAAUGACGGACCAGAACUUUCAGGCUCUAUAUAAUCACCAUACAAUCUCUCUUCAAAUCUUUGGUCACUACAAUUGAGAAACCAACCCAAAGAACAUCUGAUUUCCUUGUUCUGCAACCUCUGGUACCUGGGUUUGAUUCUUGAUUCCAAGCUAUACGUGAAGUAGUCUGGAAAGUCCAAAAGCUCUUCCAUUGGUCGGCCCAUAUCACUCUUGAAAAAGUAAUAACUAUUUUUCAUGAGGCCAACUUGCAAAGCAACUAACUGAGGACAUUUUACAAUCAUCUUUGCCACAUCAGCCGUUGAAAAUCCCCGUCCAACAAGGAACUCGACUGGUUUCAUUAUCACAUGUUGGUGUAGACUGACAAUUUGUGGCAUCUUCUCAAUGACUCGAGCAAAACCAUCAGGAUCAAUCUUAAGCUUUAAGUUAAAGAAAUAUUGUUGCGACGACAGCUUAGCUUUCAAAGGUAAACCUAGAAUUUGUGGAAAUUGUGCAAUAACAGAAGGCAAAGUGUCCUUCCUAAGUCCAAAACUGAGUAAGCAAUUUACAUUUGGUUUCACCGUCUCUUCAAGAUCAUAACCAAGUAAAUAUGCUCGCUUCUCCAACAUUCUCGCCAACAUUUUCUUCGGCAAACCCAAUGAAACCAAAUAAUCCACAAGUGGUUUAAUCAUUGUCCCAACUCUCAUCCCAAGAAAAUAUGGAUAUUGUGUUACCAUCGGCCCUACAUCCCUCGGAUUAACUCCUAUACUAACCAAGUAAGCAACUGAAGUACUCAUUGUUCCCUCAAGUUUAAACCCUAACAACUCAGGAUAUUUCAUCAAAACAUACCCAAUAUCUUGUUUCUCAACAUCAAGACCUCGUAAAAAUUUAAUAACCGGAACAAGCUCGACGACGACACUAGUAUGUAAACAUUGAGGAUAAAUCUUAAUAAAUUCACCAAGCUUAGACCUUUGAAGCCCAAUUUUCUCCAAGUAUGUUAAAACAGGAAUUAUGUUUUUCCUCACACUACAACCAAGCAUUAAAGGAUAUUCAUUCAUAUCAUCAACUGUGAGACCAAUUUUCUGCAAAAACUCAACACGCUCCCGCAUAACUUCAACAGCGGAGGGUAAUUCCAACUCCUCUAAUUCAUGAGGGAUUAUUCCUAUAGUUUUCAAAUAAUCAGAGAUUAUUACACGUGACACCAACUUCUCCUUACGCCCUUGGACUACACCCCAUGUUACUGUUGGCAUUUCAUAUUCUGGGAAUUUAGAAGAAUGGGUCGAAAAGGGUUUUUGGUUCAAUACCCUGUAUGGGAUUUUGUAAAUUGGGUUAAAAAAUGGAUCUUUUGGGUUUCUGAAGAUUGUUUUUAAGGAUUGAUUUCUUCUUAUUAUUGAUGUCAUUUCAGUGAACAAACAACAAAGAUCAUUCAAGAAUAAGAAAAUAUAAGCUUUUAACGCCUUACCUGCAGAACGAAUCUACUGUCCAUUGAAAAAAAUUGCGGCUUUUGAGUAGGGAAGAUUGAGGAAGAAGAAGAUUCAUGGGCUGGGCUGGGCUGGAUGAGAAAAAAAUUGGGGCUUUUGUUUUAUUUUCUUAUAAUAUAGGAAAAGUUACAAAAAUUCCACCUUUUAGUUUACUUAUUACCAUUAUUUCCUAUAAAUUUUACAAAUCUCUAAAAUUCCCCAUUUUCGCACAUUAGAUUAGUGUAUCUCGCGCAUCAAAUUAAUGUAUCAGCACUUAUAUUAUUGUAUCUCGCGCAUCAGAUUAGUGUAUCAUGUAUAAAAUAUAAUGUAUCUUACUUAACGAUUAAUGUAUCUUGCGUAUCAGAUUAAAGUAUCAACGCUUAUAUUAUUGUAUCCGUUUGAGGGAUUUCUGUAAUUAUAAACUUUUAAGGGAUAAAUUGUAAUUUUCCUUAAAAGUAUUGAUUUCUAUAAUUUGCCCUUAUAUAUAUGUUGAAACUUGAUAAAAUUAUUUUUAUUAUUAAGAAGAAGUUAAAAAUAUAUAUAUUUGAAAAAGGUACGGGUAGGAGAAAAAAGUAUAAAAGAGGUAAAUGUAAUUUAGAUUGAUUUAUAAUAAAUAUACAAAGAAAAUCAUGUUUGUUAGAAAUAUAUAUAAAAAGUAUACAUUUUUUCUCAAAUUGUUAUUUUUUGUUUACUGUAUUUAAAAGUAUACAAAACUCAAAGUCUAAAACUCUUAAGUGAUGAAAAUUUAUAUACGAACCUAAAUUAAAUGUGAAUAAUUAAAACUUGAAAUAUUUGAAUUUGAAAAUUAAAUGUAUUCUCUCCAUAAGUUAUUUAGGUUGAGAAUUUUAUUUUUCGAUGACAAUUAUAACCAUUUGAAAUUACUAAAAUCAUUAAUGUUUUAUGGAAAUAUAGGACCUUCUUCGGAUGAAUUUUAAUUACUCAUUUUGUCUACUUUUAAUUGUCAUGUUCUGCUUUUUAAAAGUUAAUUUGACUAAUUUUCAAAGUUAAAUUAGAUUACAUUAAUUCGAUAGUUUAAAUAAAAAAUUUAGAUAUUCAAAAACGAUACGAAAAGUACUAUAUAUUGCAAUUUUUUGCAUAUCAAUAUGAUAAAAAAAUACAUCGUAAAAUGUUAGUCAAAGUUCUUAUAGCUUGACUCUAAAAAAGAAAACCAAUGACAAUUAAAAGUGGUCGGAGAGAAUAAUCGUCAAUUAUGAGAUUUUGUAUAUGAUUAUUAUGGGUUAUCAAAAUAAAGUUAUUUACUAUUUUGUGUAUGGAUUUUGAUUAAAAAAUCAUGAAUACUUUAUAUAUUUCAUUUAGUUUUUUGAUUUAUUUUAAAUAAUAAUAAUGAAUUUCUUUCAUAAAUGACAUUGUGUUUAAAUUGAUGUUAAAUAGGAGCGAGCAUAAUACUUUAUUAAAAACUUUGGUUUGAUAAUUUUAAUUUGUAACUUUUUAAAUAUUUUGCCAUUAUAUUUCUCUGGUGUUAACUUAGUGUUAAUUUAUUUUUUUUCUAUAAUUAUUUUGUUUAGCAGGGAAAACUAGUCUCGACUCUAAGUAAAAUUAUAUUCGCGCGGAUAAAUUCAUUAGUAAUACCUUAAACUAAAAAUUAAGUAUUGUAUGUGUUUAGGUUCUAUUUUUAUAUUUAUUUUUUCGAUUUCCAAUAAACAAAAAAAAUAUUACGUGUCUUCUAAAAAGUUUUUUACCGCUAAAAAGUAGUUAUAUCCUAUCCAUUUUUAUCACUAUCUCUCUCACACACCCCCAUAAAAUUCACAUGGUUCCUCUCUUUCUCACUUAUCCUCUAUACGGUGUACCUAAACACUGUGAUAUUAUACACGUGUACUUUAUCAAUAAAAGCAUGAUACAUUUUUUAUAUUGUUUCAAUUGUUGAGACUUUACAACUUACCUUCUUAAGGUACAAAACUUACAAAAUUGAAUUAUUUACAAGUAAUAAAUACCCUAUCGAUCUUUAUCACGUGUUAAAAAUGUCUUCAAGACUUAUUUACUUGAAAGGAUACAAGACACAAUAAUCCUAGUAUAUAAUUUGUCACUCACCCACUUGCAAACGAAUAAUCUUAAGACACUUGAAUGACAAUCUAUUUUGUCUACUUUGCUUAAAGAUUUUCACAAAUCAUUUCUUAUAUUUAAUAUUACAAGUUACAUAAACCAUAAUGAUCAAUACCUUUUCUCUCUCCCGUUUCUACACUAUACCCUAACUGUUAUAUAUUGAGUGAUAUCUGUUAUAAUGUUAAUCUAUAACUCAUGUCUAGCAAAUAGUUAAUUUUUUCAUAAAUAAUUCGUCAAGGCAAUGUGAUGACCAAUAAUCCUCUUAUAAGUUUUUAUGUUUGAUGAGUCUUGAAAAGGUUUUAUCAAACCAAUUAACCAAUAUUGAUUUCUUCUAUUAAGAUUAGUUAAUAUCUUAAACUCUUGUUGAGUAUUAUCUGAUCUUUUGUUCUAAAGAAGAAUAUUAUUCAUCAUUAGUGAUUAGCCUUUAUGACUACAACAAGUCUCUAUGUCGGAUAAAAUUGAAGUGUGCACUUUAGAGAUCUCAUCUGAUAAUAUUCUAUCACGAUCCAAACUAUCUCCCAGACGUAACAUGGUGAAUAGGAUCUCGAGAGACUCUAAACAAACCAGUUGAUAUAAGUAUGAGACUAUGAUAAACAACAAAACAAUAUGAAAUGAAUAAUAAAGCUAAAAGAUUAUAGUAAAACCUUUUUUUUUCCAACUCCAAGCGUAGCAUAAUAGAGAAAGGGGCAUCAGAUGUUUCUCAUUGUGACCUGAAAUUUGUUACUCAUUUCAGGGUUGGUUAAUUUGCCAUAAGUAAUUUUUCUAGGUGUUGCAACAAAAAUGCAAUCAGACAGUACAAUUUUUCGACGAAGGAGGUUCACUACAGGUCUCCCCCUCUAGUGAUCUUCUCCGAUUAGAAGGAAAAAACUGAUCCUGUUCCAACUAACUUUUGAAAUCUUAGGGAUCAUUUAUCACAAACUCAGCCUACCAUAGAACCCUUGCAAAUAAAGCAGUAUAAAAUGGACAUCUCUACAUAAACAACUGAAUAUACGUUAGGCACCACAGAGAUGAGAAACUAAAACAAGACCUCAAUCAUGAUUAGUCCAAAGAAUCCCUAAAUGGAUGCAACUAAAACCCCAGUUAAGAGCAUUUACAAAAAUUAAGAUGUUGGGUGUACAGACAACCCACUGAAAAUCUAUUCACAGGAUGGGGUAUGCAGCUAACAAAUGAUACUCUUGUAUUCCUAGUACCAUGAGAGCAAAGAAUGCUUCAUAAGACUCCCAUAGGUCAUCAAAUCUACAAAUGCAGAUCAUGCGUCACACUACUUCUAAAUGCUACUUCCUCAUCAUCCAAGGGUGUAAGCCGCCUCCUUUUCACAUUGUGUUCAGGAUCUGCUUCUGAGCCAGAACCAUUACCAAUGAGCAACAAGCUUUUACAUGCAAGGUUGACAUUUCCAUGGAUAUCAUAUGGGUUCUCCUGACCGGAGGUGACAGGACCAGUACCACUGUUAUCACGAGUCUCAAUCGAGGAUUGUGCCAAAGUGAUGUCCAGCAACUCGCCAGCAGUAUCAUCUCCAUCAACCAAACAGUCAAUACUUGACUUUGGACGAUCUAUUUUCUCAUCUGAACUCAUAUUUUGAUCUACUUUGCACAGUUCUACAACCUCAACUUCUAAUUGUUUCUCCGUGUCACGGACUGAAGUAGUUGGUGAUGAGUCCAAUUCCUCAUCCACAUCUUGGACAACUGACACAUCUGGGAUCCAGGAAGUUCCCGCAGCAAGAGACCCAGAUGAAUAUGAAAAUGCACAGGGUUCAGAUCCAUUCCCACCCAGAUGCAAAAGGUCUGUGUCAGUUGCUGUGUACGCAAGAUGAUCUCCAGCUUCCAUCUCUUCCUGUUUAAGGUCAUCAACAACUCAGUGACUUCUAGCAGAGUUUAAACACAAGAAAACCUAAUCAAUUUACGGCAAAUAAAUGCAUAUAAACAGAAUCAAAACCCUUGGCAAAGUGAACUGGUACAACCAAAAUCAGUUGAUUCGAGAUCCAACUAAGACAACUGGCUAACAUCCAUGCAUGAUUAAGAG